AUUGAACGCUGGCGGCAGGCCUAACACAUGCAAGUCGAGCGAGCGGCGGACGGGUGAGUAAUGUCUGGGAAACUGCCUGGUGGAGGGGGAUAACUACUGGAAACGGUAGCUAAUACCGCAUAACUUCACAUGUGCCCAGAUGGGAUUAGCUAGUAGGUGGGGUAUUGGCUCACCAAGGCGCCGACCCCUAGCUGGUCUGAGAGGAGGACCAGCCACACUGGAACUGAGACACGGUCCAGACGCCUACGGGAGGCAGCAGUGGGGAAUAUUGGACAAUGGGCGAAAGCCUGAUGCAGCCAUGCCGCGUGUGUGAAGAAGGCCUUCGGGUUGUAAAGCACUUUCAGCGAGGAGGCGUUACUCGCAGAAGAAGCACCGGCUAACUCCGUGCCAGCAGCCGCGGUAAUAC
rnacentral:rRNA from 1 species